CAGCAGCCGCGGUAAUACGGAGGGUGCAAGCGUUAAUCGGAAUUACUGGGCGUAAAGCGCACGCAGGCGGUCUGACAAGUCAGAUGUGAAAUCCCCGGGCUUAACCUGGGAACUGCAUUUGAAACUGUCAGGCUGGAGUCUUGUAGAGGGGGGUAGAAUUCCAGGUGUAGCGGUGAAAUGCGUAGAGAUCUGGAGGAAUACCGGUGGCGAAGUCGGCCCCCUGGACAAAGACUGACGCUCAGGUGCGAAAGCGUGGGGAGCAAACAGGAUUAGAUACCCGAGUAGUCCCUGUCUCUUAUAC
rnacentral:rRNA from 1 species